rnacentral:tRNA from 1 species
UGGCUCAGAGGAUAAAGCGUCUGCCUACAAUGCAGGAGACCCGGGUUCAAUCCCUGG